CUAAGCAUAUCAAUAAGCGGAGGAAAAGAAACCAACAGGGAUUGCCCCAGUAACGGCGAGUGAAGCGGCAACAGCUCAAAUUUGAAAUCUGGCCUCGGCCCGAGUUGUAAUUUGCAGAGGAAGCUUUAGGCGCGGCACCAACUGAGUCCCCUGGAACGGGGCGCCAUAGAGGGUGAGAGCCCCGUAUAGUUGGACGCCUAGCCUGUGUAAAGCUCCUUCGACGAGUCGAGUAGUUUGGGAAUGCUGCUCAAAAUGGGAGGUAAAUUUCUUCUAAAGCUAAAUACCGGCCAGAGACCGAUAGCGCACAAGUAGAGUGAUCGAAAGAUGAAAAGCACUUUGAAAAGAGGGUUAAAUAGCACGUGAAAUUGUUGAAAGGGAAGCGCUUGUGACCAGACUUGCGCCGGGCCGAUCAUCCGGUGUUCUCACCGGUGCACUCGGCCCGGCUCAGGCCAGCAUCGGUUCUCGUGGGGGGAUAAAGGUCCCGGGAACGUAGCUCCUCCGGGAGUGUUAUAGCCCGGGGCGUAAUGCCCUCGCGGGGACCGAGGUUCGCGCAUCUGCAAGGAUGCUGGCGUAAUGGUCAUCAGCGACCCGUCUUGAAACACGGACCAAGGAGUCAAGGUUUUGCGCGAGUGUUUGGGUGUAAAACCCGCACGCGUAAUGAAAGUGAACGUAGGUGAGAGCUUCGGCGCAUCAUCGACCGAUCCUGAUGUCUUCGGAUGGAUUUGAGUAAGAGCGUUAAGCCUUGGACCCGAAAGAUGGUGAACUAUGCUUGGAUAGGGUGAAGCCAGAGGAAACUCUGGUGGAGGCUCGCAGCGGUUCUGACGUGCAAAUCGAUCGUCAAAUCUGAGCAUGGGGGCGAAAGACUAAUCGAACCAUCUAGUAGCUGGUUACCGCCGAAGUUUCCCUCAGGAUAGCAGUGUUGUUCUUCAGUUUUAUGAGGUAAAGCGAAUGAUUAGGGACUCGGGGGCGCUUUUUAGCCUUCAUCCAUUCUCAAACUUUAAAUAUGUAAGAAGCCCUUGUUACUUAAUUGAACGUGGGCAUUCGAAUGUACCAACACUAGUGGGCCAUUUUUGGUAAGCAGAACUGGCGA
rnacentral:rRNA from 1 species